AUUCAGGAGAGUGGUGAGGUGGCUCAGACCCAGGAAGGUCCAGGGGAAGUAGUGAGAAAUGGAUACAACUUGAACAUAUUUUGAAGGAAUAGCUGACAGGAUUUCCUGAGAUUGGAUGAAGGCCAAAUAAUAUGUUAGUCUGAAGAGAAAUUAUGGAAGUUCCGGGGAGUGGUGAGCAUUAUCACUAGAGACUUCGGUUAAAGGUGGAGCAGACCCAACCCAUGGGUAAAUAGCCCAUGCCUGGGCUAUUGGGAGAGACCCUUUGGCCAUGAGAAACUGGCUUCACAGUGCAGACACCAAUCUUGCUGUGUCUUUUCUU